rnacentral:rRNA from 1 species
AUGAGCAAUAUGGCAGCAAAGCUAAAACCCAUGGAUGAGGAUCUGGAGAUCAAACCAAAGCUCCUGGUCCACCUGGUCAUGGCUUCACUGCCAAAGGAGUUUGAAACUUUUGUUGUAAACUACAAUAUGUCACCUGGAACAUGGGACAUUGAAAAGACAAUAGCAAUGUGUGUCCAAGAAAAGGACAGACUCAAAGCCUCACAUGGUGGUUCACUCAACUAUGUGAAGGAUCAAAAGAAAAGGAAUUACAAUCAAAACAGCAAAAGUUCUCCUUCAAAGCAUGAAAAAGCUCCCUAUCAGCAUCAGCAUCAGCAUCAGCAACAACCUUUCUUAGUGGACAAAGACACUUGUCUCCACUGCAAGCAAAAAGGGCAUUACAAGAAAGACUGUGCUGCUUGGCUGAAGUCAGUCAUGGCAAAAAGAGGGAUUCCAUUCGACGCGGACUACGCAAAGAAGCGAAAGAUGCAUUGA